rnacentral:rRNA from 1 species
UACAGAGGUCUCAAGCGUUGUUCGGAUUCAUUGGGCGUAAAGGGUGCGUAGGCGGCGCGGUAAGUCGGGUGUGAAAUCUCUGGGCUUAACCCAGAAACUGCCGUUGACACUAUCUGUCUUGAAUAUCAUGGAGGUAAGCGGAAUAUGUCAUGUAGCGGUGAAAUGCUUAGAUAUGACAUAGAACACCGAUAGCGAAGGCAGCUUACUACAUGGAGAUUGACGCUGAGGCACGAAAGCGUGGGGAGCAAACAGG